AGCUCUAGAGACCUAGUGGUUAGAUCGUCCGCCUCGGAUGCGGGAGUUCGUGGGUUCGAACCACAGUUGAGUCA